AAAAGGGAUUUGCUUGGAUUCACAUUUCAAAUAGCAUAUUUGUCUGUCAUUUAUCUUGACAGAUUUCUUUCAAGAAGAUCCAUUGAUGCAGAAAAAUACUGGCUGUGAGAUUACUAUCAAUGACUUGUCUUUCAUUGGCUGCCAAAAUGGAAGAACGCGUCGUGCUAGCAUUACCAGAGUUUUGUGUCGAAGAGUAUAGUUUUGAGAGUAGUGUGAUACAGAGAAUGGGGCUUUUAGUACUGAAUACAUUGGAGUGGAAAAUGGGACCAGUCACUCCUUUUGCUCUUACCCAUUUCUUUUUAACAACGUUCUGCCAAGGUUCUCGAAAAAGAAAUGCAAUUUCAACAAUUAUGGAAGUUAUUUUGGGUGCAAAAAGAUGCGAAAAUAAUGUGCUAUAAAUCAUCUAUGACAGCGACACCAACCACAUUGGUGGCAUUGGAUCCAAGAUUAACAAGAGAUGCUUUGGAGCUGAAAAUCAGUCUUUUAUCUUCAAGUGGUGUCCUUAAAAUUGUGAGAAAAAUUCUUUAUAGGAUUUCGAAUAAUUUCAUCUUCUUCCCUUCAAAAAUUGUGAUUAUGUUGUAUGCUGAUCGAAAUGUUUCGGAUUCCUUGGUGGCAUUCGUUUCUGUUUUAGGAAGACGUUGUUUCAUGUUAUUUCUCGAAUUUUGGAAUUGGAUAUAUUGAAGUUAAAUAGGGGCAUUAUGUCUCCGAAUUUAUUGCCAAAAUCAAUUGCAAAAAGCUGAAGUUUUGGGAAGUUUGGUUACUACUUCUGCUGCUAGGGCUAAAAGAAAGAAGCUUACAUUCAACGGAAAUGACCAUAUAUCUCACAAGAAGCGACAUCACUGAAAAGUUUUACUACCAAAAUUGAUUCUGUGGAUGAAAUAAGACACAUAUAUUUUGGUGUUGAUUAUGGGUGUCUGUUGAGCGAGAAGCA